ACGUAUGAAGUCGCAUAAUCUUUGAGUAUCUGCCCAUUGUUGUAAUAAAAAUAAACCUUCCGUAUACACUCAUUUUUGCCACUAAGCUUAUCAUUAUCGGAAAUAUUUGAGCUUUCUUGAUGAACAUUAUAUCUGCCUGAAUUAAUAACAAACUGAGCGUAGUACUAUAAUGUGCACAUGAUUAUCAAAUCUCUGAAACAGCUUGUUGUUACAAUUUAUAUUUUGUAGUAUUUUGAUAGGUUUUCAAACGGUAAGUGAGACUACUGACUUAAAUUGAUUAACUAUUAAUAGAAAUAAUCAGUUGUUAUGUUGGAUCAAGAGAACAUUUACUCUUUUUCAUGUUUUGGUAUCAUUCUUACCGUAAAACGAAUAUAGGCAAUUAUAGCUGAAUGCCGGUGAGUGAGCGGGGCUUGUAAGAUGUUUGGUCAGUGAAUAUUUACUUGAACUUUUGUCGUAAGUUGAUGUAAUUUCGAUCGUUCUUCGAUUCGACAUUCUACUAUUUUCAGCGUAAUAUUUUCAGGUGUUUCAACGACGUUGAAUGCAGAGUGAUUCUUUGUUAAUGCGUCAUACUCUAACUAGAUAUUCUGUGUCAAAGUCAUGAAAUUUAAUUUAGUCCACCAGGCCCUUGUAAAAUAUUGCAUACGAGUUCCUAUUUCAGAUUCAUUUUUUUUAUUUCAACAAUUAUUAGAUAGUGCUACGCACGGUUUGCUGUAUGGUUAUUUACUAUCAACAUUUUGUAAUUUGUAAUGAAGAGGUCUGACGGAAUUUUGAAUAACAGAAUUGUUAGACUAAUUUAAAGGUAAAAAUGUUUACAUACAGGGUGAUGUGAAAAUGGCGUCAUUCAUCUGGUAGUCUUAUCUUGCUGUCUAGGGAGUACACGAAAAGUAAUAAAAAAAAAAUUCUUAACCCUCCAGCGGGCGCGCCCGCGGCAUAAUGCCGCAUUUUUCAGAUUUUUUGUUAUAAAUACUAUGCAUUAAAACUGACGCCGUCGUUCUUCCAGGUAUUCGUUCCCAAUACAUUUGUCCCUUCAUUCCUAUAUCGAACAGACCCUAUUUCGGUCAGCAUUAGUUGCAGAGUGGCAUUUAGUAAGAGUGUGCAAUUUUUGCCACUAAUUUGCCGCGGUGCGCCUGGUCAUGUCGAAAAAAAUUGAGUCCGGACGAAUUAAAAAAACCGUUGCCAUAGGUGGUGAGAUAAUUAGCAGAUAAGCAGAAUAAGAUGAAUACAAUAGAACAUUAACGUGAACAGAAGUCACGUAAUAGAUGACGAUUUUGACAGCGAUUCAGACUAGGAGCCAGAAGUUACUGAAAGUAACGUUUAUAGUAGUGAUUCCAAACAAGAAGCAGAUAAAGGAAAAGCAGAAUCUGAACCAAGGGACCAGACAAAGAUUAUCAAUUUUUUAUUGAAAAAAACAAUUAUAUGUACUUCAGAUUUUUAUUUUUAGACUUUUUACAUAUAUAUUUAAUUUUGUUGGCAUUUUUUCAAGUAUUAUAUGUAGAAUUGCAUCUAUUGUUGGUUCCUUGUUUUAAUUUCACUUAUUAAAUACAUCUUAAAGUAG